GCCGAACGCUGGCGGCGUGCCUAAUACAUGCAAGUCGAACGCAGUGGGGACGGGUGAGUAACACGUUGGUAACCUCCCAUCAGAGGGGAUAACACUUGGAAACAGGUCCUAUACUGAUACUGAUGGAUGGUCCCGCGGUGCAUUAGCUAGUUGGUGGGGUAACGGCUCACCCAGGCCACGAUGCAUAGCCGACCUGAGAGGGUGAUCGGCCACACUGUAACUGAGACACGGCCCAGACCCCUACGGGAGGCAGCAGUGGGGAAUCGGCGGCAAUGGGCGAAAGUCUGACCGAGCAACGCCGCGUGAGGGAAGAGGGUGUUCGGAUCGUAAAACUCUAGUGUUAGAGAAGCGGUAUCUAACCAGAAAGCCACGGCUAACUACGUGCCAGCAGCCGCGGUAAUAC
rnacentral:rRNA from 1 species